rnacentral:rRNA from 1 species
GUGUCAGCAGCCGCGGUAAGACGUAGGAUGCAAGCGUUGUCCGGAAUUAUUGGGCGUAAAGAGUUCGUAGGUGGCAUGUCAAGUCUGGUGUUAAAGCCCGGGGCUCAACUCCGGAUGGGCACUGGAUACUGACAAGCUAGAGUACGGUAGAGGCAAGGGGAAUUCCAAGUGUAGCGGUGAAAUGCGUAGAUAUUUGGAGGAACACCAGUGGCGUAAGCGCCUUGCUGGGCCGUAACUGACGCUGAGGAACGAAAGCCAGGGGAGCAAAUGGGAUUAGAUACCCUGGUAGUCC